rnacentral:rRNA from 1 species
UUGCCCUAGUAACGGCGACUGAAGCGGCAACAGCUCAAAUUUGAAAUCUGGCGUCUUUGCGCGUCCGAGUUUUAAUUUGCAGAGGAUGCUUCUGGCGACGUGCCUUCCGAGUUCCCUGGAACGGGACGCCAAAGAGGGUGAGAGCCCCGUACGGUCUGGUGCCUAGCCUCUGUGUAGCUCCUUCGACGAGUCGAGUAGUUUGGGAAUGCUGCUCAAAAUGGGAGGUAAACUCCUUCUAAAGCUAAAUAUUGGCCAGAGACCGAUAGCGCACAAGUAGAGUGAUCGAAAGAUGAAAAGCACUUUGAAAAGAGAGUUAAAUAGUACGUGAAAUUGUUGAAAGGGAAGCGCUUAUGACCAGACUUGGGCUUGGUGGUUCAGCCGUCCUUCUGGGCGGUGCACUCCGCCGGUUCAGGCCAGCAUCAGUUGUCGGUUGGGGAGAAAGGCGGCGGGAAUGUGGCCCUUCGGGGUGUUAUAGCCCACCCGCUAUGCCCUCCCGGCGACUGAGGUUAGCGUUCUUCACGGAUGCUGGCGUAAUGGUUAUCAACGACCCGUCUUGAAACACGACCAAGGACUCCGUCUUUGAUGCAGUGUUUGGGUUGAAAACCCCUACCCGAAAUGAAAGUGAACGGAGGUGAAUACUUCGCCGCUUUUUCGACCGAUCCUGAUGUUCUCGGAUGGAUUUGAAUAAAACCAUUCGGGGCCGGACCCAAAAAAAAAUGAACUAUGCUUUGAUAGGCCAAACCCCCAGAAACUUUGUC